rnacentral:rRNA from 1 species
AGUGAACGCUGGCGGCAGGCCUAACACAUGCAAGUCGAGCGGCAGCGCGGGGGCAACCCUGGCGGCGAGCGGCGGACGGGUGAGGAAUUCGUCGGAAUCUGCCUUUUUGUGGGGGAUAACGUAGGGAAACUUACGCUAAUACCGCAUACGUCCUACGGGAGAAAGUGGGGGACCGCAAGGCCUCACGCAGAAAGAUGAGCCGACGACCGAUUAGCUAGUUGGUGGGGUAAAGGCCCACCAAGGCGACGAUCGGUAGCUGGUCUGAGAGGAUGAUCAGCCACACUGGGACUGAGAAACGGCCCAGACUCCUACGGGAGGCAGCAGUGGGGAAUAUUGGACAAUGGGCGCAAGCCUGAUCCAGCCAUGCCGCGUGUGUGAAGAAGGCCUUCGGGUUGUAAAGCACUUUUGUCCGGAAAGAAAUCCCUGGAGCUAAUACCUUCGGGGGAUGACGGUACCGGAAGAAUAAGCACCGGCUAACUUCGUG